rnacentral:rRNA from 1 species
AGUGAACGCUGGCGGUAGGCCUAACACAUGCAAGUCGAACGGCAGCACAGUAAGAGCUUGCUCUUACGGGUGGCGAGUGGCGGACGGGUGAGGAAUACAUCGGAAUCUACUUUUUCGUGGGGGAUAACGUAGGGAAACUUACGCUAAUACCGCAUACGACCUACGGGUGAAAGCAGGGGAUCUUCGGACCUUGCGCGAUUGAAUGAGCCGAUGUCGGAUUAGCUAGUUGGCGGGGUAAAGGCCCACCAAGGCGACGAUCCGUAGCUGGUCUGAGAGGAUGAUCAGCCACACUGGAACUGAGAAACGGUCCAGACUCCUACGGGAGGCAGCAGUGGGGAAUAUUGGACAAUGGGCGCAAGCCUGAUCCAGCCAUACCGCGUGGGUGAAGAAGGACUUCGGGUUGUAAAGCCCUUUUGUUGGGAAAGAAAAGCAGCAGGUUAACACCCCGCUGUUCUGACGGUACCCAAAGAAUAAGCACCGGCUAACUUCGUG